GGCUACAUCAUGUUGAAGCACCUGUUCCCAUACGAUUGCUGAAUUUAAGCAACAUUGAACCUGUUCACUACCUAGAUGGGUGACUGCUUGGUAAUACCAGGUGCUGUAAG